UACAGAGGGUGCUAGCGUUGUUCGGAAUCAUUGGGCGUAAAGGGCGUGUAGGCGGUUUGUUAAGUCAUGUGUGAAAUCCCUCGGCUCAACCGGGGAACGACGCAUGAAACUGGCAAGCUAGAGUACCAAAGAGGCCGGUGGAAUUCCCGGUGUAGUGGUGAAAUGCGUAGAGAUCGGGAGGAACACCAGUGGCGAAGGCGGCCGGCUGGGGGUGACCUGACGCUGAGGCGCGAAAGCGUGGGGAGCGAACCGG
rnacentral:rRNA from 1 species